CGUGUGUAGGUGGCUUGUUAAGUUGAAUGUUAAAUCUACGGGCUCAACUCGUGGGCUGCAUUCAAUACUGGCAGGCUUGAGGAUGGAAGAGGUAAGCGGAACUUGUGGUGGAGCGGUGAAAUGCGUAGAUAUCACAAAGAACACCAAUGGCGAAGGCAGCUUACUGGGCCACUCCUGACACUGAGACACGAAAGCGUGGGGAGCGAACAGGAUUAGAUACCCUGGUAGUCCACGCCGUAAACGAUGAUCACUAGCUGUUCGAGGUGUCGACCCCUUGAGUAGCGAAGCUAACGCGUUAAGUGAUCCGCCUGGGGAGUACGGUCGCAAGACUAAAACUCAAAGGAAUUGACGGGGACCCGCACAAGCGGUGGAACGUGUGGUUUAAUUCGACGCUAAGCGAAAAACCUUACCGAGGCUUGACAUCUCUGGAAGGCCCUAGAAAUAGGGCUGUGCCGAAAGGAACCAGAUGACAGGUGCUGCAUGGCUGCCGUCAGCUCGUGUUGUGAAAUGUUCGGUUAAGUCCGUCAACGAGCGCAACCCUCAUUGCAUGUUGUAUUUCUCAUGCAAGACUGCCCUGGUUAACAGGGAGGAAGGUGGGGAUGACGUCAAGUCAGCAUG
rnacentral:rRNA from 1 species